GACGAACGCUGGCGGCGUGCUUAACACAUGCAAGUCGAGCGGUAAGGCCCUUUCGGGGGUACACGAGCGGCGAACGGGUGAGUAACACGUGGGUGACCUGCCCUUAGCUCUGGGAUAAGCCUGGGAAACUGGGUCUAAUACCGGAUAUGACUCCAUGACGCAUGUUGUGGGGUGGAAAGCCUUGUGCGGCUAGGGAUGGGCCCGCGGCCUAUCAGCUUGUUGGUGGGGUGAUGGCCUACCAAGGCGACGACGGGUAGCCGGCCUGAGAGGGCGACCGGCCACACUGGGACUGAGACACGGCCCAGACUCCUACGGGAGGCAGCAGUGGGGAAUCUUGCGCAAUGGGCGAAAG
rnacentral:rRNA from 1 species